rnacentral:rRNA from 1 species
GAUGAACGCUGGCGGCGUGCCUAAUACAUGCAAGUCGAGCGAACAGACGAGGAGCUUGCUCCUCUGACGUUAGCGGCGGACGGGUGAGUAACACGUGUAUCACCUCCCUAUAAGACUGGGAUAACUUCGGGAAACCGGCGCUAAUACCGGAUAAUAUAUUGAACCGCAUGGUUCAAUAGUGAAAGACGGUUUUGCUGUCACUUAUAGAUGGAUCCGCGCCGCAUUAGCUAGUUGGUAAGGUAAUGGCUUACCAAGGCAACGAUGCGUAGCCGACCUGAGAGGGGGAUAGGCCACACUGGAACGGAGACAGGGUCCAGAGUCCUACGGGAGGCAGCAGUAGGGAAUCGUCCGCAAUGGGCGAAAGCAUGACGGAGCAACGCGGCGUGAGUGAUGAAGGUCUUCGGAUCGUAAAACUCUGUUAUGGGGGAAGAACAAAUGUGGAAGUAACCAUGCCCGUCUUGACGGUACCUAAUCAGAAAGCCCCGGCUAACUACGUG